AGUUUUGUUUCUAAGGAUACAUUCUUGGGUGAUGUCACAAAGUCCCCAAAGACACGGUGGAGCUGUGUUAGAUGGGGAAAGACAGUCUGCUGAGGAUUUAUCUGGAACUGUCAGAAGGAAAAGAAGGAAGGGGGACAUGCCGAAUCUACCAGUUUGCAGCCACCUACACAGGAUCCACCUUCACUUCUAAGGAAAUGUUUGGGAAGCUACCUACCAACCACUUCUGGCAUCUCAUGGGCUAGAGGACUCUUAAAUGGCACUCUUAUUUGUUUAAUAAAGGAGGUUGUGACGUGUAGUUUUAAAUGGGUGGGAUGAAAUCUCUCUGUUGGUUUGAGA
rnacentral:lncRNA from 1 species